GAAGUGGGGAUGACGUCAAGUCCUCAUGGCCUUUAUGUCUAGGGCUACACACGUACUACAAUGGCAGGUACAAAGGGCAGCGACACAGCGAUGUGAUGCGAAUCCCGAAAAGCCUGUCUCAGUCCGGAUCGGAGUCUGCAACUCGACUCCGUGAAGUUGGAAUCGCUAGUAAUCGUGGAUCAGCACGCCGCGGUGAAUACGUUCCCGGGCCUU
rnacentral:rRNA from 1 species